rfam:Trichosporon oleaginosus strain IBC0246 unplaced genomic scaffold CC85scaffold_24, whole genome shotgun sequence.
GGGCGUGUAGCUCAGUUGGUAGAGCGUGUCAUUAGCAUCCCCGUCCUCUCCUCUGGAGGCGCUGGUAAUAUGGUAUUGACAAGGUCUUUGGUUCGAUUCCUAACUCGUCCA